rnacentral:tRNA from 1 species
GGGCUUGUAGCUCAAUCCGGCUAGAGCGUCGCGUUCGCAUCGCGGAGGCUGCGGGUUCAAAUCCCGCCGAGUCCA